AGCGUUUCAGACGACGAAAAAUUGGAAUGAUACAGAAAAUGCUUUUAUUUUUCAUUUGAAUAGUGGGGGUUUCGACCCUCAAAGCGCCAGGCAUUGUUGUUUUGCAAUUUUACUUUUUGAAUACGUACCAGUGGAUUGGCCGAAAAUUUUCAAAGGGGGGUUCUGAAAAUCUAAUUGCCAAGUUAGACUGUAUCAGCUAGCGGAUGCGGACUAUCCGCAAAUUUUCCACAAAAGUGUGGGUUAUCAGGCUUCUUUGACCUUGAAAUUGUCAAAUGACCUUGAAAAUCUGGAUCUUGAAAUUUAAAUUUUUAUUUAUAUUCAAGUAUUUUAACAUAUUUCAAAAGACUUUGAGAGGUGUUGAAAAUAUUAGGAUGACCUUGAGUUUGAGGUUGUCCCUGACCUUGAGAGUUUGACCUUGGCCUUUGUACUGGUUAAUCCAUGUAACUGUUGCCACAUUUCACUGUGAUAUACAAUGAUGACGAAUAGAUAGGGACAAAUGAUAUGAAGUGAUUAUAGUAGCAGACUCUGAGUAUAUCACGUAAAUGUGGCAACAUAAGACACGGAAUAACAAAAAAGAUAACAUCACAGGUCAUGCUCAGUCAUCUGUGACUGGUGACAUCACAGUUCAUGCUCAGCCAUCUGGAAAAAUGCUAGUUGUCAGAAAUACAAUACAGUUGACACAAACUAUUCAGCAGUGUUUCGAAACUGCUAAGACUAAGGUGCUUCUAAACGGAGUUUGGCGAACAUGAGUAAUUUUUUUAGCAUUUUAAAGAAAAAUCGGACAGAGAUGAAAAGAAGGGUUGACCUUUGACAUUUGAUUACCUAGGCCUACAUGUUUACAAAUUUUAAAAGGCAUGAAGUACACCAUUACGAUCACUAAAGCGAGUUUUAUUUGAAAGCUGUUUUUGUGUAUAAGUGCGCUUUGAGUUUUUUUCGGGAUAAUUAGGCGCUGCACAAAUAAAGAGUUUGGGAACUGAGUGAUUAGUCGAUUGAAAAUUUUUAGUCAUUUAAGAUGGUUGAAAUUGCUAUAAUGCCAUUACUUUUAUUAUUUCAAACUCAUUCGGAGUCUAUGGGAACCGAAACAUUUCAAUAUUGGUUUUUAAUUUAUUUA